rnacentral:rRNA from 1 species
UGCAAGUCGAGCGGUAGCACAGAGAGCUUGCUCUCGGGUGACGAGCGGCGGACGGGUGAGUAAUGUCUGGGAAACUGCCUGAUGGAGGGGGAUAACUACUGGAAACGGUAGCUAAUACCGCAUAAUGUCGCAAGACCAAAGUGGGGGACCUUCGGGCCUCAUGCCAUCAGAUGUGCCCAGAUGGGAUUAGCUAGUAGGUGGGGUAACGGCUCACCUAGGCGACGAUCCCUAGCUGGUCUGAGAGGAUGACCAGCCACACUGGAACUGAGACACGGUCCAGACUCCUACGGGAGGCAGCAGUGGGGAAUAUUGCACAAUGGGCGCAAGCCUGAUGCAGCCAUGCCGCGUGUGUGAAGAAGGCCUUCGGGUUGUAAAGCACUUUCAGCGGGGAGGAAGGCGGUGAGGUUAAUAACCUCACCGAUUGACGUUACCCGCAGAAGAAGCACCGGCUAACUCCGUGCCAGCAGCCGCGGUAAUACGGAGGGUGCAAGCGUUAAUCGGAAUUACUGGGCGUAAAGCGCACGCAGGCGGUCUGUCAAGUCGGAUGUGAAAUCCCCGGGCUCAACCUGGGAACUGCAUUCGAAACUGGCAGGCUAGAGUCUUGUAGAGGGGGGUAGAAUUCCAGGUGUAGCGGUGAAAUGCGUAGAGAUCUGGAGGAAUACCGGUGGCGAAGGCGGCCCCCUGGACAAAGACUGACGCUCAGGUGCGAAAGCGUGGGGAGCAAACAGGAUUAGAUACCCUGGUAGUCCACGCCGUAAACGAUGUCGAUUUGGAGGUUGUGCCCUUGAGGCGUGGCUUCCGGAGCUAACGCGUUAAAUCGACCGCCUGGGGAGUACGGCCGCAAGGUUAAAACUCAAAUGAAUUGACGGGGGCCCGCACAAGCGGUGGAGCAUGUGGUUUAAUUCGAUGCAACGCGAAGAACCUUACCUGGUCUUGACAUCCACAGAACUUUCCAGAGAUGGAUUGGUGCCUUCGGGAACUGUGAGACAGGUGCUGCAUGGCUGUCGUCAGCUCGUGUUGUGAAAUGUUGGGUUAAGUCCCGCAACGAGCGCAACCCUUAUCCUUUGUUGCCAGCGGUCAGGCCGGGAACUCAAAGGAGACUGCCAGUGAUAAACUGGAGGAAGGUGGGGAUGACGUCAAGUCAUCAUGGCCCUUACGACCAGGGCUACACACGUGCUACAAUGGCAUAUACAAAGAGAAGCGACCUCGCGAGAGCAAGCGGACCUCAUAAAGUAUGUCGUAGUCCGGAUUGGAGUCUGCAACUCGACUCCAUGAAGUCGGAAUCGCUAGUAAUCGUAGAUCAGAAUGCUACGGUGAAUACGUUCCCGGGCCUUGUACACACCGCCCGUCACACCAUGGGAGUGGGUUGCAAAAGAAGUAGGUAGCUUAACCUUCGGGAGGGCGCUAC